rnacentral:rRNA from 1 species
UACGAACUGUGCAAACGUUAUUCGGAAUCACUGGGCUUACAGGGUGCGUAGGCGGCUUGUUAAGUAGGGUGUGAAAGCCCCCGGCUCAACCGGGGAAUUGCGCCCUAAACUGGCGAGCUGGAGUGAGAUAGGGGUGUGUGGAACUUCCGGUGGAGCGGUGAAAUGUGUUGAUAUCGGAAGGAACGCCGGUAGCGAAAGCGACACACUGGGUCUUGACUGACGCUGAGGCACGAAAGCCAGGGGAGCGAACGGG